rnacentral:tRNA from 1 species
GUUGUGGCUCAGUGGUAGAGUGCUCACCUAGCAUGUGCGAGGCCCUGGGUUCAAUCCUUAGCACCACA